UACGUAGGGGGCUAGCGUUGUCCGGAAUCAUUGGGCGUAAAGCGCGCGUAGGCGGCCCGGUAAGUCCGUUGUGAAAGUCAAAGGCUCAACCUUUGAAAGCCGAUGGAUACUGCCGGGCUGGAGUCCGGAAGAGGCGAGUGGAAUUCCUGGUGUAGCGGUGAAAUGCGCAGAUAUCAGGAAGAAUAUCCGUGGCGAAGGCGGCUCUCUGGGACGGUACUGACGCUGAGACGCGAAAGCGUGGGGAGCGAACA
rnacentral:rRNA from 1 species